rnacentral:lncRNA from 1 species
UGGAGUGUUCAGGUCUUCUGCUGUGUAGAUCAGGUGUUUUGAAUGAAGGGCCAAAAACCAAAUAUUGUUGAGAGCUGUGGGCCGAAGGGAUCUUAGGCAUGUACUGGGGCGGUUUGCUGCCAAGUGCGACACGGCUGGGAUGAGGAUCAGAACCUCCAGGUCCGAGGCCAUAGUGCUCUACCAGAAAAAGGCUGCCAUCUCCAGGUUGGAGGAAGGUCCUUACCCCAGGAACUGGAAUCGGCAGGAGACUGAAUGUAAUGUAAAUCUGACAAAAGAGAGAGAAGAUAAAGAUUUCAUCAAAAACUGUCAGCACCAACUCACGAGGCAUGGACUCUACAGGACCCCUAAAGGUGCCUUGUGAUAUCUGACAUCAAGAUUUUGGCAGCAUACCACUCAAGUCCUGCUCAAGGCAGAACUACAAUGAUGAAUCGUUUUGGUUCAGCACAUCCCACAGAAAAACAAUUGGAUUGCAGAAUCAAUUUAAAGGCCGGGACAACAUCUUGAAAUCUACAUCGUGUUCUUCAAACCUUCCUGAACAUUCCAUGGUGCUUUAUCCUGCUGGUAGGCACCACGUCAAGCAGCAACAAACACCAUUGCCAUGAAGAACCACAGCAGGUCUGCAGGAAGGUAGCAUGUGUCAAAUUUAUGCCCUCAUGAAUGGACCGGCAGAACUCUGCCCAGAACAUCACAUGCCUCCAUCAGCUUGUUGUCGACCCCAAGGUAAACAUCAUGCAUGAACACAGACAUCCAUGAGGUAUCCAACAGACCAAGCAACCUUCUGCUGCUGCUCCAGGUUCUAGUUCUGACAUGCUUCAGAUCAGGAACCUUGAUCCUGAAACUUGGCUCCAACCAUAA